rnacentral:rRNA from 1 species
ACGCACGCUGGCGGCAUGCCUAACCCCUGCACGUCGAACGCGACCUUCGGGUCUAGUGGCGCACGGGUGCGUAACGCGUGGGAACCUGCCCUUAGGUUCGGAAUAACUCCCCGAAAGGGGUGCUAAUACCGGAUAAUGUCUUCGGACCAAAGAUUUAUCACCUUUGGAUGGGCCCGCGUUGGAUUAGCUAGUUGGUAGGGUAAAAGCCUACCAAGGCGACGAUCCAUAGCUGGUCUGAGAGGAUGAUCAGCCACACUGGGACUGAGACACGGCCCAGACUCCUACGGGAGGCAGCAGUGGGGAAUAUUGGACAAUGGGCGAAAGCCUGAUCCAGCAAUGCCGCGUGAGUGAUGAAGGCCUUAGGGUUGUAAAGCUCUUUUACCCGGGAUGAUAAUGACAGUACCGGGAGAAUAAGCUCCGGCUAACUCCGUG